CUGACGGGGAAACCCUAAAUCAUCCUUGUCCAAUGAACCUUAAAUUAAGGUAAAAAUGCCUCAAUAAACUAGGAGGACGACAAGACCCUAUAAAACUUUACCACAUCUAUUUAAACCCAAAGAGUACAGUUAUUAAAAAUACUAGUGGUUAGCUGGGGCGGCUAUCCCCCUCCGGGGGUUAUCUUAACACCUUGAGUGACCCCUCGAACCCUUUUCAGUAGAAAGACCAAGUUACUUUAGGGAUAACAGCGUAAUUGUUUCGUAGAGCCCCUAUCGAUGAAACAGUUUACGACCUCGAUGUUGAAUUGGAGGCCCUUCUGGGAGCAGCCCCCCACGAAAGGAAGUCUGUUCGACUUUUAAUUCUCCACAUGAU
rnacentral:rRNA from 1 species